rnacentral:rRNA from 1 species
CAGAACGAACGCUGGCGGCAUGCCUAACACAUGCAAGUCGAACGAGACCUUCGGGUCUAGUGGCGCACGGGUGCGUAACGCGUGGGAAUCUGCCCCUCGGUUCGGAACAACAGUUAGAAAUGACUGCUAAUACCGGAUAAAUGACGAAAGUCCAAAGAUUUAUCGCGAGGGAUGAGCCCGCGUAGGAUUAGCUUGUUGGUGGGGUAAUGGCCCACCAAGGCGACGAUCCUUAGCUGGUCUGAGAGGAUGAUCGGCCACACUGGGACUGAGACACGGCCCAGACUCCUACGGGAGGCAGCAGUGGGGAAUAUUGGACAAUGGGCGAAAGCCUGAUCCAGCAAUGCCGCGUGAGUGAUGAAGGCCUUAGGGUUGUAAAGCUCUUUUACCAGGGAUGAUAAUGACAGUACCUGGAGAAUAAGCUCCGGCUAACUCCGUG